AAGUCGUAACAAGGUUUCCGUAGGUGAACCUGCGGAAGGAUCAUUAAUGAACUUGUGGUUGUUGCUGGCUAGUGUCUCUAGCAUGUGCACACGCACCUUCAUCCCAUUUACACCUGUGCACCUUUUGUAGUAGUGUUUUGAAAGGGGGGAAGUUAACUCUCUCUUCUGGAUCUCCUACUACGUUUUUUACACACACACAAAUAGUCAUUGAAUGUCAUUUGAUUUUAUAUUGAAAAAACAACUUUCAACAACGGAUCUCUUGGCUCUC
rnacentral:misc_RNA from 1 species